rnacentral:rRNA from 1 species
AUUGAACGCUGGCGGCAUGCCUUACACAUGCAAGUCGAACGGUAACAGGCCUUCGGGCGCUGACGAGUGGCGAACGGGUGAGUAAUGCAUCGGAACGUGCCCAGUCGUGGGGGAUAACGCAGCGAAAGCUGUGCUAAUACCGCAUACGAUCUGAGGAUGAAAGCGGGGGACCUUCGGGCCUCGCGCGAUUGGAGCGGCCGAUGUCAGAUUAGGUAGUUGGUGGGGUAAAGGCUCACCAAGCCAACGAUCUGUAGCUGGUCUGAGAGGACGACCAGCCACACUGGGACUGAGACACGGCCCAGACUCCUACGGGAGGCAGCAGUGGGGAAUUUUGGACAAUGGGCGCAAGCCUGAUCCAGCAAUGCCGCGUGCAGGAUGAAGGCCUUCGGGUUGUAAACUGCUUUUGUACGGAACGAAAAGCCCUGGGUUAAUACCCUGGGGUCAUGACGGUACCGUAAGAAUAAGUACCGGCUAACUACGUGCCAGCCGCCGCGGUAACAC